CUAUCUAACUUGGGCUCAUCACAGGCAAAUGAAAGCUUUAAUAACUUAAUUGCUCUCAAAGCUCUAAAAACCAAACAUUUCUCCACAUCAGCAUCUUUAAAUUACAGAGUCAGCUCAGCCGUACUCCAAAAAAAUGAGGGUUAUAAUUAUGUUGCUGAGUUAAACACAUCUAUAGGCCUGUCACCUGGAAAUGAGACCCUAAGCAGGGGUAAUAAAUUAAACAAGAAGAGAGAGGGCAACAAAAACAGAUUAAAAAGCAAACAGGGAAAAAAACAACAUAAAGUUCUCAAAAAGAAACGCCUACAAAAAACAACAGUGGCUGAAGUCAAAGAAGGGAGAACAUACCACAGUUCAAUCGGGUUAGAAGAUUUUGCAACAAUAGACAUAGAAGAAAUACCUGCAGUUCCUGAAGCUGAAACCUUUACAACAUAGAUGAUGCACCAAUAGUUUGUUUUGAUUUAAAGACAAAUGGUUUAAGUAUAUAUUCUGAUAUAACCCAGAUAGCUGCAUGCACCAAAGACAGUUCCUUCAGUCGAUAUAUAUUUCCAGACCAACAAAUUUCAAGAGAAGCAUCAGAAAUAACAAAAAUCACUAUUGUAGGACAAAAAAUGUAUUACAAUGGUAAUGCUGUUGUUUAUAAGCAUAAACAUGAAAGAAUGACUGAUUUUUAACUUAUUUGUAUUUGUCAAGUUUCACAGAUAAACCUGUAUUGGUAGGACAUAAUAUAAAACGAUUUGACUGCCAUGUUUUAUUUCAUACCUUAAAAUCUAUGAAUAUGUACAGUGAACUAUGUGCAAGAACUGUUGCAUUUUUAGACUCUUUGAAUUUGUUUAAACUCGUUUCACCUGGCUUGUCAUCUUAUAGCCAGUCUUUUCUCGUUGAUAAACUAUUAGUCAACAGUAUGAAUCUCAUAAUGCUGUGUAUGACACAAAAUUACUUUUUAAUUUAGUCACUGAGAAAGGUAAUGUUUCUCAAUUUAUUAGUGAACUUGCUUUUUCACCUAGCUACCCUCAGUUAUACCAGAUGCAAUUGGCCAACUUGAAAACUUUUGAAGAGCUAGUUCAAUCAAAAUGUCUGUCAAAAGCUAUGGCACUAAAGACCAAAAGGUAUAACCUAAGGUUUCAACAUUUCCAAUUAGCAGUACAACGAAAUGACAUGGCAGGACUCAAAGCCUUAAUGACAGAAAAGUCUUCAACUGGGGUAGUUAGAGUGACAUCAAACAAAAUAAUUAUACAAAGAGUAUAUGAGUAUCUAAUUAGUCACAAGUAAAGGAAAAAUAUGUUUGUUAAGGUAGUCAGUCAGUGGUAAUACUUUAAGAGCAUAUGAUACAGUUACAUGGGAGGUCAUGAAGUUUUAACGUAAAAUAUUAUUCCUCCUGUAUGAUAAGAAUUAGAAAAUUGAUCGUUGUUAUGCAGAACUUUACCUUAACUAACCUUUUGUUGAAAUUCAUGAUCAGAGAUAAACAUUAAUGUGUACUGUAAAUUAGUGUAAAUGGUAGUGUGAGCCCUGCUGUAAUAUUUGUAAAUGUAUUGUAGACAUAUCUUCAUGAUAUAAACCAAAUAGUUUUGAUAGUUAUACAACUUUAUAUGAACCUUGAAUUUUUUUAGAUAUCAAUUUUUUUAAGUUUGUGUAAUAAUUUAUUGUUGAUUGGAAAACCAUUUCUUACUGGAGGAGAUGCAUUUGAGUUUUUAAUGCAUACAUAAUCCAGUGAAGUAAUCUAUCCAGCUAUAACCCAAAUUUUGAUCAUAAAGAUAGACUGUAUGAACAUAGUAUGAUAAAUUUUGACUGUACAGUUUCUUGAAAAAAAGUUCAACUUGAGAUAAGAGUUUCAAAAUAUGUUGAGUUAACAGUUCUAUAAAUCUUAGUCUUUUCUGUGUUUUUUUAUAUAUAUUUUGGUGGAUUUUUUUUAUUGCUUGUACAGGCAAUUAGAACAAGUAUAUAGAAAUUUUUGGAAAAUAGCUUAACAAUUAUAAAAAAGCAGUAGGAACAAUUGUAGUCUCUCAGGUGUUUAUAUUAGUAAAAAGACAUCCAAUGUUAUUUAGAAAUGUUAUUGCUGUUGGAACUUUAAAAAAUCUAUUUAUAGAUAACAUACUUUCAUCUGUUUGUACAGAAGUAUCAAAAUACUGUAUAUUCAAAAAGUAAAAUUUUGAAUGAGAUGUCUGGCAUAAUUAUACUCCUACCUCUGUGGAUGGGAAAGAAGGAGAUCUCCAUCUUUAAAAGAUUGAAUAUGGGAUAAAAUGAUAUCAGAAAGACUUAUACAAGUUACGGCAAAUAUAUUCAAACAAACACUAUUUUGAUGACUUCAAUCAUGACUAUUUGAUGUUUACAUGAUGAUACAUGUAUUCACUUAUUGGUUAGGUCAAUGUUUGUGCUGAACAUAGUUAAUGAAAUUUUACACAUAUUCAUUAUGAUCUACAUUUUGCAAAUAAUUGUAUAAUAAACCAAAUUAGGGUUAAAUCUAGAAUUUGUCAUGUUGAAGUCCAAAGCAAAAUGUCUUAAUGUUUUUAAAAAUUUAUAUUAUUAGCAAGGCUUUUGCAAAUUUUAUUCAGUGAAAUUAUUUAACCUAGCUACUACAAACAGUAUUUCUAACUGAGAAAAACAUGUUAUUUAUUUGGCAUCUUUAUUUAAUUAUAUAUGUACAAACAAACGUAAGAACAGAUAUCCAUU